AUACCUUUCUCGGCCUUUUGGCUAAGAUCAAGUGUAGUAUCUGUUCUUAUCAGUUUAAUAUCUGAUAUGUGGACCAUGUGUCCACCUUGAUAUUAAAUUUAUUUUUCAUGGGGGAUGGCUCACCAUAGUGGCUUGCCAUUAGAGCCCUCGAGUGUCACUCUGGCGUUGCACUAUUGCCUGAGCUGGUACACCCCAA
rnacentral:snRNA from 2 species